UGACAGAAUGUCACAGAACCAGUUAGUCUUCCAGUUUGUUCCUCAUGCUUUCAGUGUGUCCCUGCACAUAGGAAUUAAAUCAUCACAGAAAUGAGGACUAAAGGCGUCUCGGGGCUGAUCUGUCUCUCGGGGUAGUGGUGCUAUCAGAUCUGCUUCAUCAGAUGCCUCACAUGAUGGAAGAGCAGCCUCUUUAUUUUUAGUGUUGGGUUGAAGCUCAGCUCAGACAACGUUAAGGAAGCAACCGAAGCGUCUGCUCUGACCAACGCUCCGAAGACUCGAGGUAUGGGUGGUUCCUCCUUCAAGAAAAUCUUUUUUUGGAAAAAGAAGAAGAAGACGCCUUUAAAAAAAGCCAUGAAUCAGCUGAAGGGGGCGCUACCCAGUAAGAAACGCAAGCAACUGCAGAAGCAACUGAAAAAACUGAGUCUGGAUAAAGUGAGGAGGGAAAAGCAUUCCAAGAAGAGAUUCUCACUGACAACAGACAAGAAAGCGCCGAUAUCACUGAAAAGGCUUUCUCUCGGUAACGUCAGGAGGGAGUCGAUUCAAAACGCUUCGCAGGGAAAGAAGGAGAAGGACAAAGGGGGGCUGGAAAAAGUCGGCGAACAGAUAAAAAGGAAAUUUUCCCAAGAACACAAAAAGGAUCUUGGCACCCAACCAGAGCUCGUUCCUCCCUCUGCGAACCUGAAGGAAGAAAAAGCGUCCAAAAGGAAACUCAGUGAUAUCAUGAGAUCCAUUCGCCCAACUGGAUCCAAAGCAAACGGACAACAACCUUGAGCUUGGCAGGAAGACUAAAGAAAAGAUGUCAGCGAGGAGGCUGCAUGAGAGAGAGAUACACAAUGUUUUUAAUGGCAUCACAGAGUUACUGAGAAGUAGAUGAUCACAGCGAGACACAAAACACAACAUACAUCCAUAAAGGUUCCUUCCUAUUAACAUUUUCAUGUCAGUUUCACUUGAUACUUGCAUAAUCAGCUAAAACUUCAUGUUUUUUGUUCAGUUAUUCACGCUUAAUAACAAGGUAACAGACAUUUGUGGCGUCAUCCUGACAAACUUGUAUGUUUAAUUGUCUCUGACGGCAAAUCUGCACUACAUACUGUACAUUAGAUCUACUGUCAGAAUGUGAUCAUAAAUAAAGUUGUAGAUCACAAACUAUUUACAAUAUUGUGUCAUGUGUUAGUCCAGCACAGAGGCAGUUUACAUGAUACCAGCAGCACACACACACAAAAACACACACAACAAGAAUAGAGCCAAGAGGAAGGAACGGCUUGUAGCAUUAUCUGUCGUCUGUGAAUCAAAAACAGUUCAGAGGCUCUGAACUCAAACCCCAGUCGCCACUAAAGCCGUUAAAUUACAAGCCAGUGUGUUUGCUUUGAUAUUUAAGAGCAACAUCAAGAAAACAUCCACUUUGUGAGCGGCAGAAAUGACCCAACACACAUUAUUUUUUUACACUUGAAAACAUUGGGG